rnacentral:rRNA from 1 species
CGGCUKCUAMCAUGCAGUCGAACGGAGGUCUUCGGACCUUAGUGGCGGACGGGUGAGUAACGCGUGAGAAUCUGGCCUCAGGACGGGGACAACGACUGGAAACGGUCGCUAAUACCCGAUGUGCCGAAAGGUGAAAGGAUUAAUUGCCUGAGGAUGAGCUCGCGUCUGAUUAGCUAGUUGGAGGGGUAAAGGCCCACCAAGGCGACGAUCAGUAGCUGGUCUGAGAGGAUGAUCAGCCACACUGGGACUGAGACACGGCCCAGACUCCUACGGGAGGCAGCAGUGGGGAAUUUUCCGCAAUGGGCGAAAGCCUGACGGAGCAAGACCGCGUGAGGGAAGACGGCCUACUGGUUGUAAACCUCUUUUGAUAGGGAAGAACACAAUGACGGUACCUAUCGAAUCAGCCUCGGCUAACUCCGUGCCAGCAGCCGCGGUAAUACGGAGGAGGCAAGCGUUAUCCGGAAUUAUUGGGCGUAAAGCGUCCGUAGGUGGAUAUUCAAGUCAGUUGUUAAAGCGUGGAGCUUAACUCCAUAAAGGCAAUUGAAACUGAAUGUCUAGAGUGCGAUAGGGGCAAGGGGAAUUCCCAGUGUAGCGGUGAAAUGCGUAGAUAUUGGGAAGAACAUCGGUGGCGAAAGCGCCUUGCUGGGUCUGCACUGACACUGAGGGACGAAAGCUAGGGGAGCGAAAGGGAUUAGAUACCCCUGUAGUCCUAGCCGUAAACGAUGGAUACUAGGCGUUGUCCGUAUCGACCCGAGGKCRAAMMMAAAAAMMAAA